UAACGCGAAGAACCUUACCAGGACUUGACAUCCCUCUGAAACUCCUGAUAACGAUGGAGCCUCCUUCGGGACAGAGGUGACAGGUGGUGCAUGGUUGUCGUCAGCUCGUGUCGUGAGAUGUUGGGUUAAGUCCCGCAACGAGCGCAACCCUUGCUGUUAGUUGCCACCAUUAAGUUGGGCACUCUAACGGGACUGCCGGGGAUAACUCGGAGGAAGGUGGGGAUGACGUCAAAUCAUCAUGCCCCUUAUGUUCUGGGCUACACACGUGCUACAAUGGUCGGUACAAAGAGCAGCAAGACCGUGAGGUGGAGCAAAUCUCAAAAACCGAUCCCAGUUCGGAUUGUAGGCUGCAACUCGCCUACAUGAAGUUGGAGUUGCUAGUAAUCGCGGAUCAGAAUGCCGCGGUGAAUGCGUUCCCGGGUCUUGUACACACCGA
rnacentral:misc_RNA from 1 species